AAGUCGUAACAAGGUUUCCGUAGGUGAACCUGCGGAAGGAUCAUUGUCGAACCCUGCAUAGCAGAAUGACACGUGAACAAGUAAAGACACUCGGCUGAGCUAGGGCCGUACGUUAUGUUUUGGUCCUUGCGAUGCCUUGUCAGCUUGUGUGUAUGUUGCCCCGUACAUACUGGGCUUCAUGGAUAUCAUGCUGACAUAAUAACAAACCCCCGGCACGGGACGUGCCAAGGAUAAAUAAACUUAAAAGGGCUUGUGCUAUUGCGCCCCGUUUGCGGUGUGCGCAUUGUACUGGUGCCUUUGUAAACUUAAAACGACUCUCGGCAACGGAUAUCUCGGCUCACGCAUCGAUGAAGAACGUAGCAAAAUGCGAUACUUGGUGUGAAUUGCAGAAUCCCGUGAACCAUCGAGUUUUUGAACGCAAGUUGCGCCCGAAGCCAUCCGGUUGAGGGCACGUCUGCCUGGGCGUCACGCAUCAUGUUGCCCCAACCAAGCAUUCCUUUUUAGGGACGUCCUUGGUUGGGGCGGAGAUUGGUCUCCCGUGCCCAAGGCGUGGUUGGCCUAAAUAGUAGUCUUCCCAGAAGGGAGGCAUGGCUAGUGGUGGUUGAUAAAACAGUCGUCUCGUGUCAUGCGUUUUCUUUCACGGGUGUAGAUGCUCUUAAUUCCCUGAUGUGUUUUCUUGCGAUAACGCUUCGAUCGCGACCCCAGGUCAGGCGGGACUACCCGCUGAGUUUAA
rnacentral:rRNA from 1 species